rnacentral:rRNA from 1 species
CCUACGGGAGGCAGCAGUGGGGAAUAUUGCACAAUGGGGGAAACCCUGAUGCAGCGACGCCGCGUGAGUGAUGAAGUAACUCGUUAUGUAAAGCUCUAUCAGCCGGGAAGCAAAUGACGGUACCUGAGUAAGAAGCCCCGUCUAACUACGUGCCAGCAGCCGCGGUAAUACGUAGGGGGCAAGCGUGAUCCGGAUUUACUGGGUGUAAAGGGUGCGUAGACGGCAGUGCAAGUCUGGAGUGAAAGGCGGGGGCUCAACCCCCGGACUGCACUGGAAACUGUACGGCUGGAGUGCAGGAGAGGUAAGUGGAAUGCCUGGUGUAGCGGUGAAAUGCGUAGAUAUUAGGAGGAACACCAGUGGCGAAGGCGGCGUACUGGACUGUAACUGACGUUGAGGCUCGAAAGCGUGGGGAGCAAACAGGAGUAGAUACCCGGGUAGUC